rnacentral:rRNA from 1 species
CGGUAAUACGAAGGGAGCUAGCGUUGUUCGGAAUUACUGGGCGUAAAGCGUGCGCAGGCGGCUAUACAAGUCAGGGGUGAAAUGCCAAGGCUCAACCUUGGAACUGCCUUUGAAACUGUAUAGCUAGAGACUCGGAGGGGUUAGGGGAAUUCCUAAUGUAGCGGUGAAAUGCGUAGAUAUUAGGAGGAACACCAGUGGCGAAGGCGCCUAACUGGACGAGUACUGACGCUCAUGCACGAAAGCGUGGGGAUCAAACAGGAUUAGAUACCCUGGUAGUCCACGCCCUAAACGAUGGGUGCUAGCUGUCGGGAGGUUACCUCCCGGUGGCGCAGCUAACGCGUUAAGCACCCCGCCUGGGGAGUACGGUCGCAAGACUAAAACUCAAAGGAAUUGACGGGGACCCGCACAAGCGGUGGAACAUGUGGUUUAAUUCGAGGCAACGCGAAGAACCUUACCAGGCCUUGACAUGCCCUCUAUGGGCUCCAGAAACGGAGCCCUUCACCUCGGGUGGGAGGAGCACAGGUGCUGCAUGGCUGUCGUCAGCUCGUGUCGUGAGAUGUUGGGUUAAGUCCCGCAACGAGCGCAACCCUCAUCCUCUGUUGCUAACAGGUAAUGCUGAGAACUCUGAGGAAACUGCCCGUGAUAAGCGGGAGGAAGGUGGGGAUGACGUCAAGUCCUCAUGGCCCUUACGGCCUGGGCUACACACGUGUUACAAUGGUGGUGACAAUGCGCUGCUAGCCCGCAAGGGUAUGCUAAUCGCAAAAAGCCGCCUCAGUUCGGAUUGUACUCUGCAACUCGAGUACAUGAAGCUGGAAUCGCUAGUAAUCGCGCAUCAGCUCGGCGCGGUGAAUACGUUCCCGGGUCUUGUACACACCGCCCGUCACACCAUGGGAGUCGGUUCUGCCUUAAGUCGCCCUCAAAAGCGCCCACGGCAGGGUCGAUGACUGGGGUGAAGUCGUAACAAG